CUCCCAAAACAUAGCAUACAAAUACACAAGAAAAAUAAAAAUAAUAUCAUUGUCUAUUGAGAUAUAGUAUACAAAAUGAACACAUCAAUUGUUUUGCUCUCUCUUAUUGCCUUGAUAAUUUUGUUAGGUUCACCAUCGUGUAUGGCAUUGGGAAUACAAGUACAAUGUAACACAUCAAAAGAUUGUAAACCUACAGCUUGUGGAAUUAUGCAAUGUUCUCAUGGAGUUUGUGUGUGUCCCCAUCAAAUAAAGAAGAGUGCUGCUUGCACCAAAGACAGUGAUUGUAUAAGCUUAUGUCCUCCUAAAUCUAUAGCAAAUUGUAUUAGAGGAGUUUGCAUUUGUGGUACAAAUUAGAGUCCAAAAGACAUAUAUGUUUUGAGUUAUAAAAAAACAAUUUUUUUA